rnacentral:misc_RNA from 1 species
GAAAUGCGAUAAGUAAUGUGAAUUGCAGAAUUCAGUGAAUCAUCGAAUCUUUGAACGCACCUUGCGCUCCUUGGUAUUCCUUGGAGCAUGCCUGUUUGAGUAUCAUGAAAUCUUCAAAGUAAAUCUUUUGUUAACUCAAUUGGUUUCUACUUUGGUAUUGGAGGUCUUUGCAGCUUCACACCUGCUCCUCUUUGUUCAUUAGCUGGAUCUCAGUGUUAUGCUUGGUUCCACUCGGCGUGAUAAGUUAUCUAUCGCUGAGGACACUGUAAAAGGUGGCCAAGGUAAAUGCAGAUGAACCGCUUCUAAUAGUCCAUUGACUUGGACAAUACUUUUUUGAUCUGAGCUCAAAUCAGGUAGGACUACCCGCUGAACUUAAGC